rnacentral:tRNA from 1 species
UAGAGAGUGGUGUAAUAUGGAAGCACUAAGAGUUUUGAUCUCUUCAGAUUGGGUUCAAAUCCCUUCUCUCUAA